UUUUAAAAAGUACUCAACUACUGAUAUUGUGAUGUUUAUUAAUUAUCUGUAGGUGAAAUAAUUUGUCUCUGAAAAUUGAACAUCUAAUUCUCUGUUUUUAUUUUUUUCAGGUUGCUCAUUUAUUUCGGAGAUGCAAGUCUGCUGAUAUGCCUGCGCACAUUUAUUCAGUAGCUCAGUCAGCGUAUCAUAGCAUGUUGUCUCUUCGUCGAGAUCAUUCCAUUGUAUUUUUAGGCCGAGCAGGAAGUGGUUAAAACAAUCAACUAUAAAUAUGUCAUCAAAUAUUUAACUAUUGUGGCUGGUGCAAAUAAUAAGGUUUUAACUCUAGAAAAAUUAAAUUCCAUAUGGACUGUCCUUGAGGCCUUCGGUAAUGCAAAGACAGUUUUGAAUAAUAGCGCCACCUGUUUUGCUCAUCUAUUUAGCCUUGAUUUCGAUCAAUCAGGUCAAAUAGCCUCAGCGUCUAUUCAGACAAUGCUUUUUGAUCGAUGGAGAGUGGCAAGACGUCCAGAAGGCGAAGUAACUUUUCAUAUCUUGUCAAGACUGGUUCUCGGAGCAGAGGGAAAUCUUAGACGUGAUCUCAUGCUAGGUGAUUUGAAUCCAACCGAUUCAAACCCUUAUGUUCAUUUCAAUGUUUCGAAUGAAGAUAAAGUGCAACAAGCGGGCUUGUUCAAAAUGGUGUAUGGAUCAUUAAUGCAGCUUGGCGUUUCGGAACUAGAAAAUAAAAUUAUAUUCUCCGUUUUAGCAGCCAUCUACACCUCGGUGCAGCAGGUGCUGCCAAAGGUAACUUUCCCUUUAUGUUUUCGUCCGUCAGCAUUAAAUAUUGCUUUUACUGCGCAAUGGAUCU
rnacentral:lncRNA from 1 species